GUAAUUCGCAUCAUUCGGGGCAUCUGAAACAAAUAAAAUUAACAAUUUAAUUGCUGACUAAUCGGUUACGAACAUGGUUGAUCUGGCAACCCGUUUACCGCU